GUGGUAAUGCCGGAUGCUCCAGUUGAUCGCAUGGUCUUCUGGGAAAGCUUUCGCGGUAUGGGAUGGGGUCGCGUCCUAUCAGCUUGACGGCGGGGUAACGGCCCACCGUGGCUUCGACGGGUAGCCGGCCUGAGAGGGCGACCGGCCACAUUGGGACUGAGAUACGGCCCAGACUCCUACGGGAGGCAGCAGUGGGGAAUAUUGCACAAUGGGCGCAAGCCUGAUGCAGCGACGCCGCGUGAGGGAUGGAGGCCUUCGGGUUGUAAACCUCUUUUAUCGGGGAGCAAGCGAGAGUGAGUUUACCCGUUGAAUAAGCACCGGCUAACUACGUGCCAGCAGCCGCGGUAAUACGUAGGGUGCAAGCGUUAUCCGGAAUUAUUGGGCGUAAAGGGCUCGUAGGCGGUUCGUCGCGUCCGGUGUGAAAGUCCAUCGCUUAACGGUGGAUCCGCGCCGGGUACGGGCGGGCUUGAGUGCGGUAGGGGAGACUGGAAUUCCCGGUGUAACGGUGGAAUGUGUAGAUAUCGGAAAAUAAC
rnacentral:rRNA from 1 species